rnacentral:rRNA from 1 species
GACGAACGCUGGCGGCGUGCUUAACACAUGCAAGUCGAACGGUAAGGCCCCUUCGGGGGUACACGAGUGGCGAACGGGUGAGUAACACGUGGGUAAUCUGCCCUGCACUUCGGGAUAAGCCUGGGAAACCGGGUCUAAUACCGGAUAUGAACUCCUGCCGCAUGGUGGGGGUUGGAAAGUUUUUCGGUGCAGGAUGAGCCCGCGGCCUAUCAGCUUGUUGGUGGGGUAAUGGCCUACCAAGGCGACGACGGGUAGCCGGCCUGAGAGGGUGAUCGGCCACACUGGGACUGAGACACGGCCCAGACUCCUACGGGAGGCAGCAGUGGGGAAUAUUGCACAAUGGGCGAAAGCCUGAUGCAGCGACGCCGCGUGGGGGAUGACGGUCUUCGGAUUGUAAACCCCUUUCAGUAGGGGCGAAGCGCAAGUGACGGUACCUGCAGAAGAAGCACCGGCUAACUACGUGCCAGCCGCCGCAGUAA